UUUAAUAGAAGCCAAACUUGAGGCAUUUCAUUGUUAAUGAAAUUAUUGAUUUUAGAAAAUCCUAUUGAA
rnacentral:tRNA from 1 species